rnacentral:rRNA from 1 species
CCUACGGGGGGCAGCAGUGGGGAAUAUUGCACAAUGGGGGAAACCCUGAUGCAGCGACGCCGCGUGAGUGAAGAAGUAAUUCGGUAUGUAAAGCUCUAUCAGCAGGGAAGAAAAUGACGGUACCUGAGUAAGAAGCCCCGGCUAACUACGUGCCAGCAGCCGCGGUAAUACGUAGGGGGCAAGCGUUAUCCGGAUUUACUGGGUGUAAAGGGAGCGUAGACGGAAGUGCAAGUCUGGAGUGAAAGGCGGGGGCUCAACCCCCGGACUGCUCUGGAAACUGUACGGCUGGAGUGCAGGAGAGGUAAGUGGAAUUCCUAGUGUAGCGGUGAAAUGCGUAGAUAUUAGGAGGAACACCAGUGGCGAAGGCGGCUUACUGGACUGUAACUGACGUUGAGGCUCGAAAGCGUGGGGAGCAAACAGGAUUAGAUACCCGUGUAGUC